rnacentral:sRNA from 1 species
CAGCCAGCGCCCCUAUUUUUCCUGCAGCACCCUGAUCUGCACUCCCUGAGGGGCUCCCACUGUCCGCGGUGUGAGGAUGUCCCUGGAUAGUCCACUGUGUGCAGAGGCAUGGGAGUUGUCAUGUCGAGAACAUGCUAGACCUCAGUGUCCUUGAGGGAUGCCGCCUUGGGUCUGGAAAUUGUUAGAGGAAACCCCAAGAGGUGCAGGCACUGAGCCUCUCAGGACAAUGACCUGGGGUCCCAGCUCCCCUGGAGGGGCCUCCUCAUGGUAAGUGAAUGCCAAGAGGUUAAGUUGGCCUGUGUUUCCAAGGUGGAAAUUCCAGGUCGCUGGCUUCAUUUGUCUUCUCUUUUAGAUUGUUUGGGGCUUGAUCACAGACCAAGAGUGACGAGUGAUGUCACCCUGUGACUCAUGGCCGGACCUUCUUGCCCCUAUUGUCUCAGCACAACAUUAUUUGACUUUUCCCUCAGCGUGGGUGGGCAGAGGAAAAGCCCUGUGGCUCUGGGGACUUGGGAUCCGGAGUUGAAGACCCUUCAGCUGGCUCUGCCCUGCCAGUGCCACAGAGUGCCAUGGCCCAGGAAGACAGGUUUUCUUCCAUCUAGGCCAGGCCAUCCAGUGGCCAUCCUCCGUGUCCUCCCGCCUCCUCCUGGUGUGACUUCUGAAAACCAAGAAUUUGUUCCUGUUGACUUUUUCUGUGCUAUGGACCAUUGUCCUCUCACCCACUCAAUAAAUCUUGAAACAUGC